GGUCCCGCCUGCCCAGUGACUCUUUAAACGGCCGCGGUAUCCUAACCGUGCAAAGGUAGCAUAAUCACUUGUCCCUUAAAUCGGGACUGGAAUGAACGGCUAAAUGAGGACUAAGCUGUCUCUUACAGGCUAGCCAAUGAAAUUGAUUUUCCAGUACAAAAGCUGGAAUAUAACCACAAGACGAGAAGACCCUGUGGAGCUUACAAACCAAAUUCACCAAACAUGUCUUUAUCGGUUUUCAGUUGGGGCGACUUUGGAGUAAAAAACAACCUCCAAACACCAAACUAAUUAAGAACAACAUAUCAAAAUAUAUCUGUAAUGACCCAGCAACCCUGUGGUUGUCUGAUUAAUGAACCAAGUUACCCCAGGGAUAACAGCGCCAUCCCCUUCUAGAGUCCCUAUCGACAAGGGGGUUUACGACCUCGAUGUUGGAUCAGGACACCCCAAUGGUGCAGCCGCCAUUAACGGUUCGUUUGUUCAACGAUUAAAGUCCUA
rnacentral:rRNA from 1 species